rnacentral:rRNA from 1 species
AUUGAACGCUGGCGGCAGGCCUAACACAUGCAAGUCGAACGGUAACAGGAAACAGCUUGCUGUUUCGCUGACGAGUGGCGGACGGGUGAGUAAUGUCUGGGAAACUGCCUGAUGGAGGGGGAUAACUACUGGAAACGGUAGCUAAUACCUCAUAACGUCGCAAGACCAAAGAGGGGGACCUUCGGGCCUCUUGCCAUCGGAUGUGCCCAGAUGGGAUUAGCUUGUUGGUGGGGUAACGGCUCACCAAGGCGACGAUCCCUAGCUGGUCUGAGAGGAUGACCAGCCACACUGGAACUGAGACACGGUCCAGACUCCUACGGGAGGCAGCAGUGGGGAAUAUUGCACAAUGGGCGCAAGCCUGAUGCAGCCAUGCCGCGUGUAUGAAGAAGGCCUUCGGGUUGUAAAGUACUUUCAGCGGGGAGGAAGGCGCUGAGGUUAAUAACCUCAGCGAUUGACGUUACCCGCAGAAGAAGCACCGGCUAACUCCGUGCCAGCCGCCGCCGUAA